UACGAAGGGGGCUAGCGUUGUUCGGAAUUACUGGGCGUAAAGCGCACGUAGGCGGAUAUUUAAGUCAGGGGUGAAAUCCCAGAGCUCAACUCUGGAACUGCCUUUGAUACUGGGUAUCUUGAGUAUGGAAGAGGUGAGUGGAAUUCCGAGUGUAGAGGUGAAAUUCGUAGAUAUCAGGAAGAACACCCGUGGCGAAGGCGGCUCUCUGGGACGGUACUGACGCUGAGACGCGAAAGCGUGGGGAGCGAACAGG
rnacentral:rRNA from 1 species